rnacentral:rRNA from 1 species
GAUGAACGCUGGCGGCGUGCCUAAUACAUGCAAGUCGAGCGAACGGACGAGAAGCUUGCUUCUCUGAUGUUAGCGGCGGACGGGUGAGUAACACGUGGAUAACCUACCUAUAAGACUGGGAUAACUUCGGGAAACCGGAGCUAAUACCGGAUAAUAUUUUGAACCGCAUGGUUCAAAAGUGAAAGACGGUCUUGCUGUCACUUAUAGAUGGAUCCGCGCUGCAUUAGCUAGUUGGUAAGGUAACGGCUUACCAAGGCAACGAUGCAUAGCCGACCUGAGAGGGUGAUCGGCCACACUGGAACUGAGACACGGUCCAGACUCCUACGGGAGGCAGCAGUAGGGAAUCCUCCGCAAUGGGCGAAAGCCUGACGGAGCAACGCCGCGUGAGUGAUGAAGGUCUUCGGAUCGUAAAACUCUGUUAUUAGGGAAGAACAUAUGUGUAAGUAACUGUGCACAUCUUGACGGUACCUAAUCAGAAAGCCACGGCUAACUACGUGCCAGCAGCCGCGGUAAUACGUAGGUGGCAAGCGUUAUCCGGAAUUAUUGGGCGUAAAGCGCGCGUAGGCGGUUUUUUAGUCUGAUGUGAAAGCCCACGGCUCAACCGUGGAGGGUCAUUGGAAACUGGAAAACUUGAGUGCAGAAGAGGAAAGUGGAAUUCCAUGUGUAGCGGUGAAAUGCGCAGAGAUAUGGAGGAACACCAGUGGCGAAGGCGACUUUCUGGUCUGUAACUGACGCUGAUGUGCGAAAGCGUGGGGAUCAAACAGGAUUAGAUACCCUGGUAGUCCACGCCGUAAACGAUGAGUGCUAAGUGUUAGGGGGUUUCCGCCCCUUAGUGCUGCAGCUAACGCAUUAAGCACUCCGCCUGGGGAGUACGACCGCAAGGUUGAAACUCAAAGGAAUUGACGGGGACCCGCACAAGCGGUGGAGCAUGUGGUUUAAUUCGAAGCAACGCGAAGAACCUUACCAAAUCUUGACAUCCUUUGACAACUCUAGAGAUAGAGCUUUCCCCUUCGGGGGACAAAGUGACAGGUGGUGCAUGGUUGUCGUCAGCUCGUGUCGUGAGAUGUUGGGUUAAGUCCCGCAACGAGCGCAACCCUUAAGCUUAGUUGCCAUCAUUAAGUUGGGCACUCUAGGUUGACUGCCGGUGACAAACCGGAGGAAGGUGGGGAUGACGUCAAAUCAUCAUGCCCCUUAUGAUUUGGGCUACACACGUGCUACAAUGGACAAUACAAAGGGCAGCGAAACCGCGAGGUCAAGCAAAUCCCAUAAAGUUGUUCUCAGUUCGGAUUGUAGUCUGCAACUCGACUACAUGAAGCUGGAAUCGCUAGUAAUCGUAGAUCAGCAUGCUACGGUGAAUACGUUCCCGGGUCU